GCAAGCAGGGUAAUUUUCCACACCUUCAGACAAAUACAGUGGAGAUACAAAGUUUGCAAUGUUCUUAUUUGGCCCCCACACACUGCACUCUGGCAGUGAGAGAGGUCAGGCUUUCAGGAGGUUAUUUCUGAACCUAGACAAGCAUCCCACAGUGUGUGUGCACUGCUUACCCUCAGUGAAAAGUGGUUCUCAUUUUUAGUGCCGUAAAUCCUAUGAUCAUCCCCUCCCUUUUCUAACCAAAGCUGGUUCUGGAAGGUGGGCACUACCCCACAGUGUUGAUUUGGCUAGUCCUGCUUCCACUGUAGCCAAAGUCACUGAGAAAGUACUUGAUUAUCUUUAGGAGUAGAACAGCCAGGGUAAGCCAGUGGAAAAAUGUUACAGAAUGACAAGUAAGUGCUUGCUAAAAUAUUUUUGGUGCUCACUUCAGGUUGACUCAGCAGGUCAGAGAAAUGCGAAUCCAGAAGUUAGGAGUGACCUUGGCUAAGUCACUUUAUCUCUCCAGCCAUUGAAAGCUUGGAUUAAAUCAUAGGCUUUAGAGCUAGGUUCCAUGGAGCUUUGGAGUUCUGUUAUACCUGUCACAGGAUAGGGACCAUUGAUAAAAGAGACUCUUAGCAGAUGAGAAUCUGGACAUCUGGGCUCGGAGAAGCUUUGAUUUUACCUGUUUUUAUACACUGAUUUAAGGGAACCCACACAAUUAUACAAAAAUAAAUGAAACGGUCUCCCUAUAAUUGCAUGGCCAAAGACCAGGGACACCAUGCCAACAGGGUCACAUGGAGCCUGUGCUCAGGAACAGAGUGGAUGACAAGGAUUGUGGGAGGCGAGAUACAGGGGUUAGAGCACAAAUUGUGCAGUGCCCCUUAGCAUUUGAUUUUUACUGAAAGAUGGGAACCCAGAAAAGGGAUGUGGGUAAAAGAAUGGCCUGCUAUUUGACCAACUUUUCUUUUCAUCUCUCGAAGAGCCUAGCAAAGUACUGAGCACAUAAAGGCUGCUGAAUAUAUUGUGACUGGUUAAUUGCAAAGGGAGCAACACCUUUCUUCACUGCUUUCCACAACUUUUUACCUUAAUCACAAUUAGAUGCAGGUUUAUUUCUACCUAAAAAUAUACUUACUGCAGAGAUAUGGACACUAAGAAAGUUCAGUUUAUACAUAGUCAAGGUGUGAGCCAAAACCCAUUUCUUUACUGAUGAGACCUGGAUCUCUCAUUAAAAUAUCACAGGUAUAAUAGAAACUAGCACACUUACAUACAGUGAAGGAUACAGCCCAUGCAAAUUCUAGAAUUUUCUACAGACCUCUACCAUAGGACAAGGGACAUUUGAAAUUUAAUAUAUUAGACACAUUUCACCUAGCUUUUAUUCUUCAUAAUUUUUUUAAUUUUUAAUUUUAAUUUUUAUAAGUUCAUAGUAGGCGUAUACAUUUAUGGGGUACAUGAGAUGUUUUGAUACAGACUUGCAAUGCAUAAUAAUUAUCACAUCCUUCAUAAAUUUUAUUUACAUAGUGGAAAUAUGUUUCAAGCUGUGGAGCAUUUAUAAAUUUAUACUGGGAUAGCAUCUUAAAAAUUUUCCCUUCUAUGAAUAAGUUCACAUGGAAAAACAGUAUAUGUUAUAAAUUCUGAAAUCAGCAACUUGACUCUAUAUUGUGCAGUUUGACAGACAGGACUCAUAAUUUAGUUCAGUCAUGGCUUUUCUGAGUAAAUAUAGAUCUAUCACUGACAUAAUUAGCCAAUCUUCAUUUUCUCCCACCUUGGUCAUAGAUUUGAUUUUUUAUCAUUAGCAUUUAGAGAGAGUAGCAUGUAUAAUACAAUAAAGAGUGGGAUAUGGGACGGAAAAAUAGGAGGAAUCCCUUCACCUGCUGCAGGAAUGUGUCAUUCUGAACCCUAAAGCUGAUUCUAUUUGGUUUUAACAAGGUAUCAUCUCCAAAUCCUAUCAUGUUAUAUUAUGUUAGAAACAUUAAGUUACAAUGGGAGAGUCCCAGUAAGUGGAGAAAGUUGAAGGUUGUCCGAUAAAAUUAGGCAAGGGUUCACAUGCAUGCUUUGUCACACACUUCACUUGCAGACACAUCUGAAAAUGCACCCCCAACACCCCUAACAUUGUCUUCCUGGAAAGCACCAUUUAUUAACAGGACUCAAACAUGAACUACUCAAUAAAGAUCUUUCUUCCUCUGUUCCUCCCUCCCAGAACUGACAAUGCAUUCAUUGUACCCUAUAAACAAUUUCGUUACUGAUAAUAUGUACCUCUAAGUCUGUUUCUCCUAUUGGACUGGAAGCAAUUUAAAGAUAGUGAUUCACUUUUAUUAUCUUUUUAUCCUGAACUCCCAGCACAAUGCCUGGCACAUGUAGGACUGAAGAAAUAUUGUUAAUUAUUUAAUUUUAUCACACUCACUAGAUCCAACAUGAUAACAUGAGAGAAGGAAAUUCUACUUCAGCUCCAUAAUUUGAGAAAGGUCAUUCUUCUUUCUUAGAGGCAGCACCAUUACAUAACAGAGUCACCACUAGUGGCAGUAGAGUUUGGUGUAUAAGAAGAAAUGGGCUGGGCACAGUGGUUCAUGCCUGUAAUGCCAGCACUUUGGGAGGCUGAGGCAGGCAGAUCACUUGAUGUCAGGAGUUCAAGACCAGCCUGGCCUACAUGGCAAAACCCUGUCACUACUAAAAAUACAAAACUUAGUCAGGCGUGGUGGUAUGCGCCUGUAAUCAUGGCUGUUCAGGUGACUGAGGCAGGAGAAUCAUUUGAACCUGAGAGGCAGAGGGUGCAGUGAACUGAGAUCGCGCCACUGCACUCCAGCCUGGGAGACAGAGUGAGACUCCAUCUCAAAAAAUAAAAAUGAAGAAGAAGAAAGGGAUCACUAGCCUUUAAAUAAUUCUGUUUCAGCAUUAUGAUAUAAGUUUUUUAUUUAAUGAAGUUAUUUUCAUCUUCUCUUCAGCAGUAGCAUCACUUAAAA
rnacentral:lncRNA from 1 species